rnacentral:rRNA from 1 species
UAGUGGGGAACGGGUGAGUAACAGGUGAGUAACCUGCCCUUGACUCUGGGAUAAGCCUGGGAAACUGGGUCUAAUACUGGAUAUGCACCGUGAACCGCAUGGUUUUUGGUGGAAAGAUUUAUUGGUCAAGGAUGGACUCGCGGCCUAUCAGCUUGUUGGUGAGGUAAUGGCUCACCAAGGCGACGACGGGUAGCCGGCCUGAGAGGGUGACCGGCCACACUGGGACUGAGACACGGCCCAGACUCCUACGGGAGGCAGCAGUGGGGAAUAUUGCACAAUGGGCGAAAGCCUGAUGCAGCGACGCCGCGUGAGGGAUGACGGCCUUCGGGUUGUGAACCUCUUUCAGUAGGGAAGAAGCGAAAGUUACGGUCCCUGCAGAAGAAGCGCCGGCUAACUACGUGCCAGCAGCCGCGGUAAUACGUAGGGCGCAAGCGUUAUCCGGAAUUAUUUGGGCGUAAAGAGCUCGUAAGCGGGCUUGUCGCGUCUAUCGUGAAAGUUCCGAGGCUCAACCUCGGAUGUUGCGGUGGGGUUCCGGCCGGACUAGAGUGAUGUUAGGGGGAGAACUUGGAAUUCCUUGGUUGUUACCGGUUGAA